UACACUCCUACGGGAGGCAGCAGUGGGGAAUUUUGGACAAUGGGCGCAAGCCUGAUCCAGCCAUGCCGCGUGCGGGAAGAAGGCCUUCGGGUUGUAAACCGCUUUUGUCAGGGAAGAAAAGGUUCUGGCUAAUACCUGGGACUCAUGACGGUACCUGAAGAAUAAGCACCGGCUAACUACGUGCCAGCAGCCGCGGUAAUACGUAGGGUGCAAGCGUUAAUCGGAAUUACUGGGCGUAAAGCGUGCGCAGGCGGUUAUGCAAGACAGAGGUGAAAUCCCCGGGCUCAACCUGGGAACUGCCUUGGUGACUGCAUGGCUAGAGUACGGUAGAGGGGGAUGGAAUUCCGCGUGUAGCAGUGAAAUGCGUAGAUAUGCGGAGGAACACCGAUGGCGAAGGCAAUCCCCUGGACCUGUACUGACGCUCAUGCACGAAAGCGUGGGGAGCAAACAGGAUUAGAUACCCGUGUAGUCCCAUGA
rnacentral:rRNA from 1 species